rnacentral:rRNA from 1 species
UACGUAGGGACCGAGCGUUGUCCGGAUUCAUUGGGCGUAAAGAGCUCGUAGGCGGCUGUUCAAGUCGAACGUGAAAACUCGGAGCUCAACUCCGAGCCUGCGUUCGAUACUGGACGGCUAGAGUCUGGUAGGGGGAUCUGGAAUUCCUGGUGUAGCGGUGGAAUGCGCAGAUAUCAGGAGGAACACCGGUGGCGAAGGCGGCUCUCUGGGCCUUACCUGACGCUGAGGAGCGAAAGCGUGGGUAGCGAACAGG